rnacentral:rRNA from 1 species
AUUGAACGCUGGCGGCAGGCCUAACACAUGCAAGUCGAACGAGUGGCGGACGGGUGAGUAAUGUCUGGGAAACUGCCCGAUGGAGGGGGAUAACUACUGGAAACGGUAGCUAAUACCGCAUACCAUCGGAUGUGCCCCGAUGGGAUUAGCUAGUAGGUGGGGUAAAGGCUCACCGAGGCGACGAUCCCUAGCUGGUCUGCGAGGAUGCCCAGCCACACUGUAACGGUGACACGGUCCAGACGCCUACGGGAGGCAGCAGGGGGGAAUAUGGCACUAUGGGCGCAAGCCUGAUGCAGCCAUGCCGCGUGUAUGAAGAAGGCCUGCGGGUUGUAAAGUACUUGCAGCGGGGAGGCGUUACCCGCAGAAGAAGCACCGGCUAACUCCGUGCCAGCAGCCGCGGUAAUUC